rnacentral:rRNA from 1 species
GAACGCUGGCGGUAGGCCUAACACCUGCAAGUCGAACGGCAGCACAGUAAGAGCUUGCUCUUACGGGUGGCGCGUGGCGGACGGGUGAGGAAUACAUCGGAAUCUACUUUUUCGCGGGGGAUAACGUAGGGAAACUUACGCUAAUACCGCAUACGACCUACGGGUGAAAGCAGGGGAUCUUCGGACCUUGCGCGAUUGAAUGAGCCGAUGUCGGAUUAGCUAGUUGGCGGGGUAAAGGCCCACCAAGGCGACGAUCCGUAGCUGGUCUGAGAGGAUGAUCAGCCACACUGGAACUGAGACACGGUCCAGACUCCUACGGGAGGCAGCAGUGGGGAAUAUUGGACAAAGGGCGCAAGCCUGAUCCAGCCAUACCGCGUGGGUGAAGAAGGCCUUCGGGUUGUAAAGCCCUUUUGUUGGGAAAGAAAAGCAGCAGGUUAAUACCCCGCUGUUCUGACGGUACCCAAAGAAUAAGCACCGGCUAACUUCGUG